rnacentral:rRNA from 1 species
GAUNACGAGUGGCGGACGGGUGAGUAAUGCUUGGGAACUUGCCUUUNCGAGGGGGAUAACAGUUGGAAACGACUGCUAAUACCGCAUAAUGUCUUCGGACCAAACGGGGCUUCGGCUCCGGCGCAAAGAGAGGCCCAAGUGAGAUUAGCUAGUUGGUAAGGUAACGGCUUACCAAGGCGACGAUCUCUAGCUGUUCUGAGAGGAAGAUCAGCCACACUGGGACUGAGACACGGCCCAGACUCCUACGGGAGGCAGCAGUGGGGAAUAUUGCACAAUGGGGGAAACCCUGAUGCAGCCAUGCCGCGUGUGUGAAGAAGGCCUUCGGGUUGUAAAGCACUUUCAGUUGUGAGGAAAAGUUAGUAGUUAAUACCUGCUAGCCGUGACGUUAACAACAGAAGAAGCACCGGCUAACUCCGUGCCAGCAGCCGCGGUAAUACGGAGGGUGCGAGCGUUAAUCGGAAUUACUGGGCGUAAAGCGCACGCAGGCGGUUUGUUAAGCUAGAUGUGAAAGCCCCGGGCUCAACCUGGGAUGGUCAUUUAGAACUGGCAGACUAGAGUCUUGGAGAGGGGAGUGGAAUUCCAGGUGUAGCGGUGAAAUGCGUAGAUAUCUGGAGGAACAUCAGUGGCGAAGGCGACUCCCUGGCCAAAGACUGACGCUCAUGUGCGAAAGUGUGGGUAGCGAACAGGAUUAGAUACCCUGGUAGUCCACACCGUAAACGCUGUCUACUAGCUGUGUGUGUCUUUAAGACGUGCGUAGCGAAGCUAACGCGCU